UACGUAGGGUGCGAGCGUUAAUCGGAAUCACUGGGCGUAAAGGGCGCGUAGGCGGCUUGAUAAGGUUGCGGUGAAAGCCCGGGGCUCAACCCCGGGUCGGCCGUGGCAACUGUCGAGCUGGAGCACUGUAGAGGCAGGUGGAAUUCCGGGUGUAGCGGUGGAAUGCGUAGAGAUCCGGAAGAACACCGGUGGCGAAGGCGGCCUGCUGGGCAGUGGCUGACGCUGAGGCGCGACAGCGUGGGGAGCAAACAGG
rnacentral:rRNA from 1 species